GGACACGUGCCUGAAUUAAAGGGCCACCUUGAUAGGGUGAAUAACAGAGGUUAAAAUCCUCUCGUCUCCU
rnacentral:tRNA from 1 species